AGGCCACUCCUCGACUUUUCAGCUCCCGCACGAUUCCUGAAGCAGGAAAAGAAACAGCUCUGUGAGACUCCCUAAUGGACCUGAGGAACAGUAACAACACUACAACUAAGCCAAAAGGAGAAAGGCCAACACUUACUGACUCGCUGCCACUUGGAGACCCAGCUGUCCUCUGGACUCAUCAUCGCAAUGAUUCUAGGGAGGGAAAAGAAAUGGAGAGUCAGCCUGAGCCUCCCCUGGGCCUGAGCUCAAUUCUGAGAGAGGAAUCUAGGAAAAAGCCAAGUACUGAGUCUCCACUGGAAAGCCGGGAAAACUGCCUUCUGAUGUUGGGAUGAGGCUGACUCAAAGCUAGGACUGACAAAAGUUCUUCGUUCUUAUGUCCUUGGCCCGCCAGCCACAGGUCAGUUGCCAUCCCCAAAAGAUUAUCUCACUCGGCUCACAAACAUCCUUAGCCUAACAUUCCCUAGAAAAUGAGACGGCUUUAGGACUAGGGGUCCAAUAGUUACAACUAACACAACUACAAGGGGUCUAGGGCCUAGUGCAAAGAGGAGGGUGAGUCAAAACAAUGGAUCCUACUACUAGAAAGGAGUUCAACUUGGCUAAGCUGUUCCUCUAAUGACCUAUACAUGUGGGGUUCCCUUCUCAGAACCUCAUCAGUAAGUUGAGACUCAAAGGUUGAGAUAAUACAUGAAAAACACCUAGCACAAAGACUAGCACAGACUAGUUGCUAAAUAAGCAUUAGCUCUCCUCAUUACCCUAAUAGUCCUUCCCAGGUAGCUGUGAUUCCAGAGGAAUGGUAAGGCUAUUCAAGGGCUAGAAGAUGCUGCUUGAGCAAGAUGGAUAAGCAUUUUUGUCAUUCAAUGCAUUCAAUCAAACUCUUACUGCCUGCCUAUUGUGUUGCGUGUAAGCACUGACAUUUGUUGACUGCCUCCUCAAUAUGCCUCCCCUCUUGUCUCAGUAACAAUCUUGGAUUCUUAUUGAGAAGAUUCCCUUCCCAUCCAAAUCCUACAUUCUCAGCCAUGCGCUGUUAAGUGGAACCGACCCUACCUCCAGGGGUGACAAGCAGAACACCAGCCCCCAGCCCUGCAGCCUGAUGGGAGACAGGCAUGUAUGCAGGCCAUGCUCCUGACCACAAGCAUAUUCUUCUCUGUCCUUCGCAAUCUAUCUUUUUAGCCUUAGGGUCCCUACAGCCCAACCUUAUGAUUUAACCUAAACAGAAUUCCCACUGUUCUCCAAACACAUCCUGGUUUUCCUCAUCCUAAGCCUUUGCUCUAGUCACUCACUUUAUUUGGAAUGUUCUAUCUCUCUCUCACCUCAACUUCCUCAAAAAUCCCAAACUUCUUUCCUUAAGAGGAAAGUACUACCUCUUCCAAUUCUGGUUGAGGUCAUGUAGCCCUCCUCCGAUCUUUAAUUUGCCCACUCUUUAAGACCUAAUAUGCACUAGAAUUAUACAAAUAAUUCCUACAAGCUAACAACAAAAAAACCAAACUGAAGUCAAAAAUGAGCAAAGGCCUUGAAUAGGCAUUUCUCCAAAGAUAUACAAAUGGCUAUAAGCACAUAAGAGGCUCAACAUCACCAUUCACUGGGGGAAAUGGGACACCAAAGACAUAUCCAUCAGGAUGGCUAUUAUUAAUAAAUAAUAAGUGUUGGUGAGGAUGGGGAGAAAUUAGAACCUUUGGGCACUGUUGGUGGGAAUGGAAAAUGGUGCAGUUGCUAAACAGUAUGACAGUUCCUCAAAAAAUUAAACACUGAAUUAUCAUAUGAUCUAGCAAUUUCACUUGUGGAUAUACAGAUGAUCCCUGACUUACCUUAGUUCAACUUAUGAUUUUUCAAAUUUAUGAUUGUGCAAAAGUGACAUGCAUUCAGUAGAAAUCGUUUUCGAAUUUUAAAUUUUGUUCUUUUCCAGGCUAGCAAUUCAGUACAAUAUUCUGUCAUGAUGCUGUGCAACAGCCAUGAACCACAGCUUCUGGUCAGCCACAGUAACAUAAGCGUUCUGAGCACUUGUGAAGUAGGCUAACUUAUGAUAUUCAGUAGGUUGGGUGUAUUAAAUGCACUUUUGGCUUACAUUUUCAACUUAUGAUGGGCUUAUUAGGUUGUAACUCCUCGUAAGUUGAGGAGCAUCUGUACUGAAAAUAAUGAAAAGCAGGGACUUGAACACAUAUUUAUAUACCAGUGUUCACAGCAGUAUUAUUCACAAAUAGCCAAAAGGGAGAAGCAACCCAAGAUAUCAUUGACGAAUGAAUGGGCAGCAGAACAUGCUAUACACAUACAAGGGAAUAUUAUUCAGCUCAAAAAAGGAGGGAAAUUCUGUUGCAUGCUACAAUAUGAAUGAACCUUGAAGACAUUAUGUUAAGUGAAAGAAGCUACAAAAUGCUACUGAAUGAGCCCAUAGGUACCUAAGGGUGCCUAAGGUGGCCAAAUUCAUAGAGACAAAGCAUAGUGGUUGUCAGGGACAGGAGGGAGGAAAGAAUGAGGAGCUAGUGUUUAAUGGGUACAGAUGAAAAAAGUUCUGGAGAUGGAUGGUGGUGAUGGUUGCACAACGAGUAUGCACUAAUGCCACUGAAUUGUGUAUUUAGAAAUGGCGACCGGGCGCAGUGGCUCACACCUGUAAUCCCAGCACUUUGGGAGGCUGAGACGGAAGGAUCACCUGAGGUCAGGAGUUCGAGACCAGCCUGGCCAGCAUGGCGAAACCCCGUCUCUACUAAAAAAGUACAAAAAUUAGCUGGGGGUGGGUGGUGGGUGCCUGUAAUCCCAGCUACUCAGGAGGCUGAGGCAGGAGAAUCGCUUGAACCUGCGAGGCGGAGGUUGCAGUGAGCUGAGAUCGUGCCAUUGCAGCCGGGCGCUGUGGUUCACUCUUGUAAUCCCAGCACUUUGGGAGGCCGAGGCGGGUGGAUCAUGAGGUCAGCAGUUCAAGACCAGUCUGACCAACAUGGUGAAACCCCGUCUCUACUAAAAAUACAAAAAUUAGCUGGGCGUGGUGGCAGAUGCCUGUAAUCCCAGCUACUCAGGAGGCUGAGGCAGAGAACUGCUUGAACUUGGGAGGCAGAAGUUGCAGUCCAGCCUGGGCGACAGAGCGAGACUCCGUCUCAAAUAAAUAAAUAAAUAAGUAAAAUGGCUAAAAUGGGCCGGGCAUGGUGACUCACACUUGUAAUCCCAGCACUAUGAGAGGCCGAGGUGGGCAGAUCACCUGAGGUCAGGAGUUUGAGACCAGCCUGGCCAACAUGGUGAAACCUCGUCUCUACUAGAAAUACAAAAAUUAGGUGGGAGUGGUGGUGGGCACCUGUAAUCCCAGCUACUCAAGAGGCUGAGGCAGGAGAAUUGCUUGAACGCGGGAGGCAGAGGUUGCAGUGAGCCAAGAUUGCGCCAUUGUACUCCAGCCUGAGUGACAAGAGCGAAGUCUCUCCAAAAAAAAAAAAAGCAACAGCUUUUGGGCAAUGAUCUACCAUUACUAUACCUCCCUUCCCUUCAUUUUCAAAAAAAAUUGUCAUGCAUUUAACAAACAUUAUUAAGAUUACAUUCUUUCUUCUCAUGUUAAGUCUUUGAAAUCUGGGGUAUAUUUUAUACUUAAAAGCAUGUCUUAAUUUGAACUAGACACAUUUCAAGUGCUCAGUAGCUACAUGUGGCUAGUGGUUACUGCAUUAGAUGCAUAGCACUAGUAUGUCCCAAAAUAACUGUUGAGGCUGGACACAAUGGCUUACACCUAUAAUCCCAGCACUUUGGGAGGUUGAAGUCGGAGGAUCGUUCCACGCUGCAGUGAGCUAUGAUCAUGCCACUGCACUCCAGCCUGAGCCACAGAGCAAAACCCUGACUCAAAAAAAAAAAAAAAAAACCCACAAAAAAUAAUCCCAAAAAACGAAUGGCUGGGACCAACUAGGAUUAACACUUGCCCUGCAUUUACUUCUCUGGGUGCGGGUUGGGUAAUGCAGAAGUGAAUGAUGGAAUCUGAAGCAGCUUACCCAUCAAAGGAAGAGCUGGUGCAAUCAUAUACCAUCUCUCGGUUACCCUUCAUUUGUAGAUAUGCAUCACAAUUGUCACAACCAUCAUAUUCAAACUGGUCUAUAGUCUGGAAGUGAAAGAAAAAUAAAGGAAAAGGAGAGAUAAGCAUGAACAAGACCAAGAGAAAAAAGUAGCUUUCUCAAUACUUCGACCUGCUCAAUUUCUUGUUUCCCUAUGUUGACUUUGUCUCCUAAGGUUCCCCACCUACUACUCUCGAAGCUCCGUUCCUAAGUCCCACCCUCCCACUCCUUCCGCCCUUGUUCCCAAUUCCGUUUUAUCUAUUCCUUUCUCUAGUCUACUCAGGGUCAGGCACCCUUUCCGACUACUCACUCAGCAGCGGAUCCCCACCCGCCUCUGACUCCCAGUGUCUUUCGGCUCCAACGUAAGUUCACCGAACGUCUAAGAGCUGAGGAUUCAAAGGCAUGUAAGACCGCCCGUGCCCUCAGCUGCAAGACCUGUCCGAGAUACUACGAGGUAAACGAUGGCCUCCUUCGGCUUCCCACUCCCCCUGCCACCUCUGAGUUCUGAGCCUUACUUUUCUCUUUACUGUCCCACAGCCCCAUUCCGCCCUCUUUCCCCGACCUUGGUCCCCCAUGGGCCCUACAACCAGGUCCCCGACUGACACCUUGACCAGCGAACACAGCAAACAGGCCCGCAGGUGCCGCAGGUCCUUCGGCACCGUCUCCAGGGCCAUCUUCGCCGAUGGGAAGAGCAACAGGGAGGUAGACGACCACAGCCUGUGCAUCCGCAGGAAGUAAAUAGCUGGUUACCCAGAAUGCCCGCCACUUCUGGCGCUUAGACUUCCUCUUCCGGUGUGGGCGGGCGCCGGCUCCGCCCCUACCCCCGCCAGAGGAGAUGGUUUCUCCCACCGGCAAGCGGGGAGGCGGGGCGGCCGGCCUCCACCUGGGCCGGGGCGCGUCCCACCCACCUGAGCCCGCCGAGGGCGCGGCGGAGGCUGUGUAGGGUAGUCAGCGGGCCCCCAAGGCGGGGCGGGGGGGCGGCUGCGCCUGCGCGGGAGUGUGUCGGGCUGAGCCGCAGCGCCGAGACGCGGGCCGUUUGAUCUGGGCUGCUGGCCCUGGGCUCCGGUCCUGUUCCCCGAUGGUAACCCGAAGUUUGUUUUUUUUUGUUUUGUCUUCCCGUUUUAGAAGCAUUGGGGGCAGUGAAUCCACUGUCUCCCUCUGGAUUAUCUCUGCAGAGACCCAGAACAAAUCCAGGGACAGCCCCACCCCUCCUUCCUAACUGCGAGAGCGCUAUAGGGUUUCCAUUUGCUUCCCACAGGAAUGCUGGCCUGGGAGCUACGGCGGAAAAAAUGCGUAUUUAUCUUUUAAAACUCCGUCUGUUUGCUCGUUCCGGCUGAUAAUUUAUACUCUGCGCAGUUCUUAGCACUUAGACACGGUUCCUUUACUAAAGAACAUUUGUAGGAGAUUCGGUGUCCUUUUUUUCCCUUUCAUUUCACCGUCUAGGAAGCGAAAUGCGUUGUUCUAUAGGCACCAAACCACCACCCCUACCAGACCUCUCUCGGGGAAGCAGAAGGGGAACUUGUGCCUUGUGAGGAAGCGACAAAGGCCCCUUCUGGCCCUGGAGACUUCAUGCCAAUGGAGCACCAACUCUCUGUCCUCGCAAUAGCCCGAGUGCAGGCAGAACGCAGUCAUUUGUGUUUAUCUGAGAGGAGCUUUGGGAUAUAAAUAGUUUCAGGCCCCGCUGCUCUAUCAUUCCAGCCCAGCCUCCUGACUGAGCUGCUUCCGGGCGGGCUUGCUUCUUGUUGCCGGUGCCAUGCUGUGUUCAGAUGGGCUCUGUGACACGUUUGGAUGUUUUCUAUCACUGAAUAAAACUUUCCACUUUGGAACAUAUUUUCCACACUAUUAUCUCAGAAAGAGAUGAAGUUGUUAGCCUGAGUGACAGUCAUGACAGAACAAAACCACAAGACCAGACCACAUUUGUGGAUAAAUAUAUUAGCAAAUAAAUAUAUUUCUUAACAUAGUGCCUGA